GCCUGGGUGGCUCGGUCAGUUGAGCAUCCGACUUCGGCUCAGGUCAUGAUCUCACGGUUCGUGGGUUCAAGCCCCACGUCGGGCU
rnacentral:tRNA from 1 species